rnacentral:lncRNA from 1 species
AUGAAACUUGAAGAAGUGGUUGUGACUUUGCAGCUUCUAGGUGACAAAGAGCCGACAGAGACAAUAGGAGACUUGUCAGUCUGUCUUGAUGGGCUACAAUUAGAGGCUGAAGUUGUUACUAAUGGGGAAACCACAUGUUCAGAAAGUGAGUGGUUACUUUUAAGCUCUUUCUUGAUUCUUUUGAUACCAAAUAGCUUCUGUAAUAGCAUGCUCUGUCUGAUUGUUGCUAUUCUUUUUUAGAAGAGAGAAAUAAUUUUAUUUUCUUUUUGAAGAACAAACAUAGAUCACAUUAAACAUUUUCUUAUUAUGUUGUUCUGUUCAUUAAAAAUUAUAUUUUUCUAGAAAUUGAAAAGCUAGUUAAGUAAAAGUUGAGUCAUAGUUGGCCUUAUGAAAAUUGAAUUGAUUUUUAAAGUACUUAUUCUGUAUGACAAUAAUGGCAGUUAAUAUGGUAUCUUUGGUGCCAUACCCCCUCCAUUGCCCGUGGUAUACAUAGUUUAUUGUCCAUAUCAGUAUUGGGUAAGUCUAGAUAUGACUCCGUAUUUUUCUUUGUACUGUACUAGAUAGCCAGUGCAGGCUGAAAGCCAUAUGCCAUGCUUCUUGCAUCUUUUGUGUCAUUGUAAUGACAGAGCCAUUCACUCAUUUUAUUUAUAUAUAAUUGUAUAAUUUUAUAGAGGGAAACUUUGCUGUCAUAGGUUACAAAAAUAUUUUAACUCCUGCUUACGCAUUUUCCAAACUAAAUUACCUUCUGAAUAGGCCAGUAAAACUCCUUUUUCAGGGCCGGGGAUUUAGUUCAGCGGUGCCUCCGCCUGCCUCACAAGCGCAAGUUACCUGAGUUUGAUCCCCAGUACCAAAAAAAACCAAACCUUUUAUUUUACAUUAUUUUGUUUUUAUUUUACUUUAUGAGUGCUCCUUUAAAAUUUGAAGUAUUGGGCCGGGGAUUUAGCUCAGUGGUUUUGCUGCUUGCCUUGCAAGCUCAAAGGCCCAAGUUUGAUCCCUGGCACAAAAAUAAAUUAAUAAUAAAGUUUGAAGUAUUGAAACUCUUAUAUGGCCAUUGUUGGUUUAGUCUUCAUUAAUUUUUAUAAUUCACAAAGCACUUUGACUUGUAUUUUAGUUUAAUGUGUGUUUAAAAUAUAAACCCAGGGCCGGGGAUUUAGCUCAGUGGUUCCGCCGCCUGCUUCACAAGUGCAAGGACCUAAGUUCGAUCCCCAGUACCAAAAAAAAAGAAAGAAAGAAAAGAAACCCCUAUAAAAUAUAAACCCAGGGAUUUAGCUCAGUGGUUCUGCCGCCUGUCUCGCAAGCGCAAGGAUCUGAGUUUGAUCCCUGGUAACCCCCCCGCCCAAUAUACGAGCAUAAUAAAAUUAGCUCUCAUGAAACUAUU